CCUACGGGGGGCUGCAGUGGGGAAUAUUGGACAAUGGGGGGAACCCUGAUCCAGCCAUGCCGCGUGUGUGAAGAAGGCCCUCGGGUUGUAAAGCACUUUCAGUGAGGAAGAACGCCUGGUGGUUAAUACCCAUCAGGAAAGACAUCACUCACAGAAGAAGCACCGGCUAACUCCGUGCCAGCAGCCGCGGUAAUACGGAGGGUGCGAGCGUUAAUCGGAAUUACUGGGCGUAAAGCGCGCGUAGGUGGCUUGAUAAGCCGGUUGUGAAAGCCCCGGGCUCAACCUGGGAACGGCAUCCGGAACUGUCAAGCUAGAGUGCAGGAGAGGAAGGUAGAAUUCCCGGUGUAGCGGUGAAAUGCGUAGAGAUCGGGAGGAAUACCAGUGGCGAAGGCGGCCUUCUGGACUGACACUGACACUGAGGUGUGAAAGCGUGGGUAGCAAACAGGAUUAGAUACCCCAGUAGUC
rnacentral:rRNA from 1 species